AGGCCACUGCUAUGGGGGUCCGACUAAGCCAUGCGAGUCAUGGGGCGCCUUGCGCGCACCGGCGGACGGCUCAGUAACACGUCGGUAACCUACCCUCGGGAGGGGGAUAACCCCGGGAAACUGGGGCUAAUCCCCCAUAGGCCUGAGGUACUGGAAGGUCCUCAGGCCGAAAGGGGCUUCGGCCCGCCCGAGGAUGGGCCGGCGGCCGAUUAGGUAGUUGGUGGGGUAACGGCCCACCAAGCCGAAGAUCGGUACGGGCCAUGAGAAGUGGGAGCCCGGAGAUGGACACUGAGACACGGGUCCAGGCCCUACGGGGCGCAGCAGGCGCGAAACCUCCGCAAUGCGGGAAACCGCGACGGGGGGACCCCCAGUGCCGUGGCAUCGCCACGGCUUUUCCGGAGUGUAAAAAGCUCCGGGAAUAAGGGCUGGGCAAGGCCGGUGGCAGCCGCCGCGGUAAUACCGGCGGCCCGAGUGGUGGCCGCUAUUAUUGGGCCUAAAGCGUCCGUAGCCGGGCCCGUAAGUCCCUGGCGAAAUCCCACGGCUCAACCGUGGGGCUUGCUGGGGAUACUGCGGGCCUUGGGACCGGGAGAGGCCGGGGGUACCCCUGGGGUAGGGGUGAAAUCCUAUAAUCCCAGGGGGACCGCCAGUGGCGAAGGCGCCCGGCUGGAACGGGUCCGACGGUGAGGGACGAAGGCCAGGGGAGCGAACCGGAUUAGAUACCCGGGUAGUCCUGGCUGUAAAGGAUGCGGGCUAGGUGUCGGGCGAGCUUCGAGCUCGCCCGGUGCCGAAGGGAAGCCGUUAAGCCCGCCGCCUGGGGAGUACGGCCGCAAGGCUGAAACUUAAAGGAAUUGGCGGGGGAGCACUACAAGGGGUGGAGCGUGCGGUUUAAUUGGAUUCAACGCCGGGAACCUCACCGGGGGCGACGGCAGGAUGAAGGCCAGGCUGAAGGUCUUGCCGGACACGCCGAGAGGAGGUGCAUGGCCGCCGUCAGCUCGUACCGUGAGGCGUCCACUUAAGUGUGGUAACGAGCGAGACCCGCGCCCCCAGUUGCCAGUCCUCCCCGUUGGGGAGGAGGCACUCUGGGGGGACCGCCGGCGAUAAGCCGGAGGAAGGAGCGGGCGACGGUAGGUCAGUAUGCCCCGAAACCCCCGGGCUACACGCGCGCUACAAUGGGCGGGACAAUGGGAUCCGACCCCGAAAGGGGAAGGGAAUCCCCUAAACCCGCCCCCAGUUCGGAUCGCGGGCUGCAACUCGCCCGCGUGAAGCUGGAAUCCCUAGUACCCGCGUGUCAUCAUCGCGCGGCGAAUACGUCCCUGCUCCUUGCACACACCGCCCGUCACUCCACCCGAGCGGGGUCCGGGUGAGGCCUGAUCUCCCUUCGGGGAGGUCGGGUCGAGCCUGGGCUCCGUGAGGGGGG
rnacentral:rRNA from 1 species